rnacentral:tRNA from 1 species
AGAGGCUUAGGAUAAUACCUGAAACCAAAAGCCUUCAAAGCUUUAAAUGAAAGUGAAAAUCUUUCAGCCUCUG